rnacentral:rRNA from 1 species
UACGUAGGGGGCGAGCGUUGUCCGGAUUUAUUGGGCGUAAAGAGCGUGUAGGCGGUUCGGUAAGUCUGUCGUGAAAUCCUGAGGCUCAACCUCGGAGGUGCGAUGGAUACUGCCGGGCUAGAGGGUGGUAGAGGCGAGUGGAAUUCCCGGUGUAGCGGUGAAAUGCGCAGAUAUCGGGAGGAACACCAGUAGCGAAGGCGGCUCGCUGGGCCACACCUGACGCUGAGACGCGAAAGCUAGGGGAGCGAACAGG